CUACCCCUGCUCGGUUCGUGAUCGCGCGUAUUUUUAGAACCAAUACGCAUAGUAAAGGGAGCUUUCCCUGUCCGCGUACGGUAUGUCCCCUUCGCGGGAAAACCGGAAACGAAUAUAAGGCGCCCACCUGUUAACGCAGGUUCAAACAUACAACGACACGGCUACGGCGGGGGUUGA
rnacentral:other from 1 species